rnacentral:rRNA from 1 species
UACGUAGGGUGCAAGCGUUGUCCGGAAUUAUUGGGCGUAAAGAGCUCGUAGGCGGUCUGUCGCGUCUGCUGUGAAAACUCAGGGCUUAACCCUGAGCUUGCAGUGGGUACGGGCAGACUAGAGUGCGGUAGGGGAGACUGGAAGUUCCUGGUGUAGCGGUGAAAUGCGCAGAUAUCAGGAGGGAACACCGGUGGCGAAGGCGGUUCUCUGGGCAUUACCUGA